rnacentral:rRNA from 1 species
ACGGUACAACGAGUCGCAAGACCACGAGGUUUAGCAAAUCUCUUAAAGCCGUUCUCAGUUCGGAUUGUAGGCUGCAACUCGCCUACAUGAAGUCGGAAUCGCUAGUAAUCGCGGAUCAGCAUGCCGCGGUGAAUACGUUCCCGGGCCUUGUACACACCGCCCGUCACACCAUGAGAGUUUGUAACACCCAAAGCCGGUGGGGUGACCUUUUGGAGCCGGCCGUCUAAGGUGGGACAGAUGAUUGGGGUGAAGUCGUAACAAGGUAUC